rnacentral:rRNA from 1 species
GAUGAACGCUGGCGGCGUGCUUAACACAUGCAAGUCGAACGGAAAGGCCCAAGCUUGCUUGGGUACUCGAGUGGCGAACGGGUGAGUAACACGUGGGUGAUCUGCCCUGCACUUCGGGAUAAGCCUGGGAAACUGGGUCUAAUACCGGAUAGGACGAUGGUUUGGAUGCCAUUGUGGAAAGUUUUUCGGUGUGGGAUGAGCUCGCGGCCUAUCAGCUUGUUGGUGGGGUAAUGGCCUACCAAGGCGUCGACGGGUAGCCGGCCUGAGAGGGUGUACGGCCACAUUGGGACUGAGAUACGGCCCAGACUCCUACGGGAGGCAGCAGUGGGGAAUAUUGCACAAUGGGCGCAAGCCUGAUGCAGCGACGCCGCGUGGGGGAUGACGGCCUUCGGGUUAUAAACUCCUUUCGCUAGGGACGAAGCGUUUUUGUGACGGUACCUGGAGAAGAAGCACCGGCUAACUACGUG